UCUUUUUGAAGAUAAUUUUUGCUGAUGAGUGCACAGAAGCUGAGGGUCGCCAUUGGCACAUGAAACACUUCUGCUGCCUUGAGUGUGAAACGGUCCUGGGAGGACAGAGGUAUAUCAUGAAGGACGGCCGCCCCUUCUGCUGUGGCUGUUUUGAGUCUCUCUAUGCGGAGUACUGUGAAACCUGUGGGGAACAUAUUGGUGUGGACCAUGCACAGAUGACCUAUGACGGGCAGCACUGGCACGCCACGGAAGCCUGCUUUUCUUGUGCCCAGUGUAAAGCCUCUUUGUUGGGAUGUCCCUUCCUUCCCAAACAGGGUCAG
rnacentral:lncRNA from 1 species